rnacentral:rRNA from 1 species
GUGGGGAAUAUUGGACAAUGGGCGAAAGCCUGAUCCAGCCAUGCCGCGUGUGUGAAGAAGGUCUUCGGAUUGUAAAGCACUUUAAGUUGGGAGGAAGGGCAGUAAGUUAAUACCUUGCUGUUUUGACGUUACCGACAGAAUAAGCACCGGCUAACUUCGUGCCAGCAGCCGCGGUAAUACGAAGGGUGCAAGCGUUAAUCGGAAUUACUGGGCGUAAAGCGCGCGUAGGUGGUUUUGUAAGUUGGAGGUGAAAUCCCCGGGCUCAACCUGGGAACUGCCUCCAAAACUGCAUGACUAGAGUACGGUAGAGGGUAGUGGAAUUUCCUGUGUAGCGGUGAAAUGCGUAGAUAUAGGAAGGAACACCAGUGGCGAAGGCGACUACCUGGACUGAUACUGACACUGAGGUGCGAAAGCGUGGGGAGCAAACAGGAUAGAAACCCUUGUAGUCC